AACACCAAUGGCAGCGUUCCUUGUGAGGCUGAAAAACUGUGUUGGUGCUGAGAUUCGUUUCUCCUUUUUGCACCAUUAGUCAUAAAUAGGAUUUUUAAUUCCAUAUCCGCUUUUUGACAACAUAAAAGUAGUUAAUAUGAUCAUAAAAUACUCGUAGAACAUUCGUUUCAGAUGGUUGGCAUAAGUACCUAGUGCAUGAGGUUCGAGGUCGAACUUCUAAAGAGUACAAAAUAAAAGAGUUGACAUGGAGGCUACCGAAAUGAGUAUGGGUUCAGGGUCAGACCCAACAGCAGGUGGGGACAGCCCUCCUGAGGCAGAUGACAAUACCAGCAAUGGCAUCAACAACAACACAUCUGAUCCUGACUCAUGCAGCACAUCCAUCACAGACCAAUCAGCAAACAACAACUCGGCUCUUGAUUUAAACAAAGAUUUACCUGGACCUCCUCCUACGCAAAUAAACAAAAUAAAAUACUCCCCUAACACUCCAGUUAUUAAAAAAGAUAAAAGACAAAGCUCUUCCCGCUUCAAUGUUUCUCAAGACAGAGAACUACUAAAACUUCCAGCCAUUAGAGAUGCAGCCCCAAAUGAGCGGGAGGAGCUUUUUCUUCAGAAGAUCCGGCAGUGUACUGUGCUGUUUGACUUUAUUAUUGACCCUUUGAGUGACCUGAAAUGGAAAGAAGUUAAGAGAGCUGCCCUCAAUGAGAUGGUUGAAUACGUGACAACACAGCGCAGUGUGAUCACCGAGCCUGUCUAUCCUGAGGUGGUUGCCAUGUUCAGCGUCAACCUCUUCAGAACACUUCCUCCCUCAACAAAUCCAUCAGGGGCUGAGUUUGACCCUGAAGAAGACGAGCCAACUCUAGAAGCUGCUUGGCCUCACCUGCAGCUUGUGUACGAGUUCUUUCUGCGCUUCUUGGAGAAUCCAGACUUUCAUCCACCAACAGCCAAGAAAUACAUUGACCAGAGAUUUGUUAUGCAGUUACUUGAACUUUUUGACUCCGAGGAUCCUCGAGAGAGAGACUUCCUCAAAACCACAUUGCAUAGAAUAUAUGGCAAAUUCUUGGGACUGCGUGCCUUCAUAAGGAAGCAAAUUAAUAACAUAUUUUACAAAUUUAUCUACGAGACAGAGCACCACAAUGGCGUGGCUGAGUUAUUAGAAAUUCUAGGAAGCAUCAUAAAUGGUUUUGCACUGCCACUGAAAGAGGAGCACAAGGUGUUCCUGCUGAAGGUUCUUCUGCCACUACACAAAGUCAAGUCGCUGAGUGUGUACCACCCGCAGUUGGCGUACUGUGUUGUGCAGUUCCUUGAGAAAGAUCCAUCUCUCACAGAGCCUGUCAUCAUCGCGCUGCUCAAAUUCUGGCCAAAAGUUCACAGCCCAAAAGAGGUUAUGUUCCUGAAUGAAUUGGAAGAAAUCUUGGAUGUGAUCGAGCCAAACGAGUUUGCGAAGGUGAUGGUUCCCCUGUUCGUACAGCUCGCCAAGUGCGUGUCGUCACCGCACUUCCAGGUGGCAGAGAGAGCUCUGUACUACUGGAACAACGAGUACAUCUUGUCUCUGAUCAGUGACAACGCCCACACUAUCCUGCCCAUCAUGUUCCCUGCGCUCUACAAGCACUCCAAGACACAUUGGAACAAGACUAUCCAUGGCUUGAUAUACAACGCCUUAAAACUAUUCAUGGAGAUGAACCAGAAGCUCUUCGACGACUGCACUAAGAAAUACAAGCCUGACAGGCAAAGAGAGAAGGAGCGGAUAAGAGAGCGAGAGGACGCUUGGCAUGAGGUUGAGAUGAAAGCUGAGCAGAACCCGCUCUAUAGUGAGUACUCCGAGGCGAUCAUGCAGAGUUCUGCACAGUCUUCGCUGCUCUACACCAACACGCAUCACAUGCUCAAUGAUGAGCUUGACGUUGAAUUUGAUGCCAACGAUGCUGCUGCAGUUGUGGCUGCUGCUGCCGCCGCUGCUGGAGGAGACGGAGUUGCCAAAGAGCUGUCAGGUCUGCAUCUGCACGACCACCGACAGCCCGUGUCCUGAUUUAGUGCUAGAAAUCCCUACAACGACUUCACCACAGCAACCACCAGCACCACUGUAACAAACACUACCACUACUACCACAACCACCACCGGCAGCUGUCGUCUCUACCAACAGCCCAGCGGCCACCAGGCGUUACCACAGUCUCAGCUCACUCCUCCUUCAGCGUCUCCCGCAUGCCAACUCAUCUCUCCCAUUGUGUAACUUGGUCAGGACUUGCUGCCAACCUCUUCAGUGGCCACUGACGAAUCGACUGGCUCUUUAGUGGUCACUGACAUAUCAUCUGGCUCUUCAUUCGCCACUGAUAUAUCACCCUGCCUCUUCAGAGGCCACAUAAAUAUCACACGAUACUGCAGUGGUCAUCGACGUUUCCAAGCUCUUCAGUGAUUGAUGUCUCUGGAUUCAUCUGUCAUCAGUGAUCGAUGUCUCCAGACUACAGCCAUCAGUGCCCCAUGUUCCAUUGAAUUGUUGCCUCAUGCAUUGCUGGCAUCAGUGUCCUGCUCUACUAGCCUCUUCAAUGAUCAGCUCCUGAUGUUUCUUCAGUCAACCUUGCCUUAUAUGUAUUCUGUCGGCGUGCCUGAUGUUGCUUCAGUCGGCCGGUCUGAUGUCUCUUCUGUCGUCACUACUUGAGUUCUUCAGGCUCUUCAGUCCUGAGGUGCCAUCAGUCCCUGGUGCAGUUGAGGCCAAGACGGAGGUUGCAGGAGCGGCGCCUCGCAAC
rnacentral:misc_RNA from 1 species